rnacentral:rRNA from 1 species
CCAGACAGCCAGGAUGUUGGCUUAGAAGCAGCCAUCAUUUAAAGAAAGCGUAAUAGCUCACUGGUCGAGUCGGCCUGCGCGGAAGAUGUAACGGGGCUAAACCAUGCACCGAAGCUGCGGCAGCGACACUCAGGUGUUGUUGGGUAGGGGAGCGUUCUGUAAGCCUGCGAAGGUGGCCUGUGAGGGUUGCUGGAGGUAUCAGAAGUGCGAAUGCUGACAUAAGUAACGAUAAAGCGGGUGAAAAGCCCGCUCGCCGGAAGACCAAGGGUUCCUGUCCAACGUUAAUCGGGGCAGG